CCUACGGGGCGCAGCAGGCGCGAAACCUCCGCAAUGCGGGCAACCGCGACGGGGUUAGCCGGAGUGCCCGUGCAUCGCACGGGCUGUCGGGGUGCCUAAACAGCACCCCAUAGCAAGGGCCGGGCAAGGCCGGUGGCAGCCGCCGCGGUAAGACCGGCGGCCCGAGUGGCGGCCACUCUUAUUGGGCCUAAAGCGUCCGUAGCCGGCCCAGUAAGUCCCCCGGGAAAUCUGGUCGCUUAACGAUCAGACUUCCGGGGGAUACUGCUGGGCUAGGGACCGGGAGAGGCCGAGGGUAUUCCCGGGGUAGGGGUGAAAUCCUGUAAUCCCGGGAGGACCACCUGUGGCGAAGGCGCUCGGCUGGAACGGGUCCGACGGUGAGGGACGAAGGCCUGGGGAGCGAACCGGAUUAGAUACCCGGGUAGUCCAGGCUGUAAACGAUGCGGGCUAGGUGUCACCGGAGCUACGAGCUCCGGUGGUGCCGGAGGGAAGCCGUUAAGCCCGCCGCCUGGGAAGUACGGCCGCAAGGCUGAAACUUAAAGGAAUUGGCGGGGGAGCACUACAACGGGUGGAGCCUGCGGUUUAAUUGGAUUCAACGCCGGGAAGCUUACCGGGGGAGACAGCGGGAUGAAGGUCGGGCUGAAGACCUUACCAGACUAGCUGAGAGGUGGUGCAUGGCCGCCGUCAGUUCGUACUGUGAAGCAUCCUGUUAAGUCAGGCAACGAGCGAGACCCGCGCCCUCAGUUGCCAGCGGGUCCCUUCGGGGAUGCCGGGCACACUGAGGGGACUGCCGGCGCUAAGCCGGAGGAAGGUGCGGGCAACGGCAGGUCCGUAUGCCCCGAAUCCCCCGGGCUACACGCGGGCUACAAUGGCCGGGACAAUGGGUACCGACCCCGAAAGGGGUGGGUAAUCUCCUAAACCCGGUCUAACCUGGGAUCGAGGGCUGCAACUCGCCCUCGUGAACCUGGAAUCCGUAGUAAUCGCGCCUCAAAAUGGCGCGGUGAAUACGUCCCUGCUCCUUGCACUCACCGCCCGUC
rnacentral:rRNA from 1 species